UCGUUCAUUUCCAGGUGUUUUAUCGAUUGCCAAAAUUGGCGCUAAUAAACUUUUCACGAACCGACCAGUCCGACCACCCCCAUCUCAAAUUCAACUCGUUACACGAACUUUACGUGAACUUUCAACCCGCUCCGCCAACUGCAUGCGAACAAACAAGCCAACAACUCGUUGUACCGCACGCAAUUUUUUACACCUUUUGGCCAGUGGAGUCGCCAAUAAAAAUCAUAAAAAAUACUUCCUUUAUUUUUUAUUUGUGUUUUUUUAUUACUUUUGAUUGAUUUCUUGUCAUCCACUGGGCUUCGUCUAAAAAAAAAAAAAAAAAAAACUGAUUACGCACCGGUUGGUUGGGUUAUGGUUUCCCUUGAGAUUGGCGUUCUCGAGUUAGCUUUUUUCUCCUUUUUUUUUCUUCUUCCGGAUUGUAUUGGCGCCCCGUCCGCGUCCGACCCAUUCACCUUUAAUUCAAAGCUCUCGCCCAUUCGCUGAGGGCUGAGUGAUGAAGAAAACCGGCGGGUAAGAAUGCUAUCGAUAAUCAAAUUAUUUGAUAAUAACAUCAAGAAAGCGAAGAAGAAGUAGAAGAGGAAAGAAAGAAAAAAUAAAUAUAGUGCCCAGGAAAAAUAAUAAAUCAAUAAAAACGACGAUGAUGAAGAACUAGCGGGACCGGCAGAACCCUCCCGUAUAUAUAAUAUGUAGCAGCAUGGCAUUUUCUCCUUUCGAUUCGCAUGCGAUUUUCAUAUAAUGGCCAUUUCCUGCUGCGUUGGCUGUCCCUUUUUGCGGACGUCCGAAAGAUGAACGGGUCCAGGAAUUCCAAAAAGGUACAUAUACUAGACUCCUUAUCCCCCCCCCCCCGUUCCCUUUUCCUUUUUUUGGUUAUUACCUAUGUAUGUUCUGUCGAUUUUAUCCUGGCCCGAGAGUGACUUCUUGCACGUUGGGAGGGAAAACCCUGGGUGUGCGUCUGACGGAAACAACUCUCAUCUCUUGUGCUCGUGGCAAAAACGACGGGGUUUUCAAAUCCAAUCAUCUUGCCAGCAGUUUCAAUUCCGCUCCACCCAAAACUCCAGCAGAGUCAACACUUGAGAAACUCCCAACUUUACAUAAUCACUCAUCAAUUUCCUAUGGCACUGGCGUCACUAAACUGCUGGGUGCUGUCUAUAACUUGAUUUCUUGUCCCCGUCUUUUUCCUCCGUCGAUUAAAAGAGCGUCGCUCAUUAUUAGUUUCCCAUUACACACUUUCAGAAACUGUGUAAAGUUGCAACGUCUUUUACCUGUCACGGUGUGUCGAAACAACACGGGGAAAAAUUAAUAACAAAUAAAUGGAUCGA